CCAAGUUUAAAGUUCAAAGGAUUCAAUUUGGAGGAGUAAAAUCAAAAGAAAAAUUCAAAAGAACAGUCUUCGAGUCGACUCCAGUGGAAUUCGAGUCGACUCCGGAGAAGUAUGAGUUGACUCCGGAGAAGUAUGAGUCGACUCCUAGGAGUCACAGGCAGAAAAGUCAGAGAGCAGUUUUCGGGUCUGAGAUUCGAGUAGACUCCAGUGGAACGCGAGUCGACUCCGAUGGUUGGUAGGUCGACUCCAAAGAAAGCAAGAGUCGACUCUCAGCGGAACACAAGGAAAAAGUCAGAGAGCAUUUUUGGGACUCUGAGAUUCGAGUCGACUCCCGC
rnacentral:lncRNA from 1 species